UACAGGGGGUGCAAACGUUGCUCGGAUUUAUUGGGCGUAAAGAGCUCGUAGGCGGCUUGUCGCGUCGGCUGUGAAAUCCCGUGGCUCAACUGCGGGUCUGCAGCCGAUACGGGCAGGCUAGAGUUCGGUAGGGGAGACUGGAAUUCCUGGUGUAGCGGUGAAAUGCGCAGAUAUCAGGAGGAACACCGGUGGCGAAGGCGGGUCUCUGGACAGUUCCUGACACUGAGAACACGAAGGCCAGGGGAGCAAACGGG
rnacentral:rRNA from 1 species